rnacentral:rRNA from 1 species
AUACGGAGGAUCCAAGCGUUGUCCGGAAUCAUUGGGUUUAAAGGGUCCGUAGGCGGUCUUAUAAGUCAGUGGUGAAAGCCCAUCGCUCAACGAUGGAACUGCCAUUGAUACUGUAAGACUUGAAUGCUUAGGAAGUAACUAGAAUAUGUAGUGUAGCGGUGAAAUGCUUAGAUAUUACAUGGAAUACCAAUUGCGAAGGCAGGUUACUACUAAGUGAUUGACGCUGAUGGACGAAAGCGUGGGGAGC